UACGUAGGGAGCAAGCGUUGUUCGGAUUUACUGGGCGUAAAGGGCGCGUAGGCGGCAAAUUAAGUCAGCUGUGAAAUCUCCGAGCUUAACUCGGAACUGUCAGCUGAUACUGAUCUGCUAGAGUGCGGAAGGGGCAAUCGGAAUUCUUGGUGUAGCAGUGAAAUGCGUAGAUAUCAAGAGGAACACCAGUGGCGAAGGCGAGUCCCUGGACAACACCUGACACUGAGGCACGAAAGCUAGGGGAGCAAACAGG
rnacentral:rRNA from 1 species